GCGCCCGGCGAGAGUGAGGCGCGCGGGGUCGAUCCGGGGCGCACAUGUUGUCUUCCAGGUUAGGAUUCGCCAAGUCUUUGCAUCUCCGGUGGUUCCGAAGCUCCGGAAAGCUUUUUAAACAUGGAAACUAAAACAAAUACACAUAAGAGAUCGGAUCAAGAUGGCGGAGGAAUAGGACAUGGACCUCACCUUCUCCCACAAAUACAUCAAAAAUACAUCUACAUGUGGAACAAUUCUCACAGAACAUCUACUGAAUAUGGGCAGAAGACCUCAGACUUCCAAAAAGGAAGAAAAUCUCCACAUAAGUGGGUAGGGCAAAAGAAAAAAGAGACAGGAAUUGGGACAGGACCUGUGCCCCUUGGAUGGAGCUGUGAAAGAAUAAAGGUUUCUGCACACUG